UACGUAGGGUGCAAGCGUUAAUCGGAAUUACUGGGCGUAAAGCGUGCGCAGGCGGUUUGGUAAGACAGAUGUGAAAUCCCCGGGCUUAACCUGGGAAUUGCAUUUGUGACUGCCCGGCUAGAGUGUGUCAGAGGGGGGGUAGAAUUCCACGUGUAGCAGUGAAAUGCGUAGAUAUGUGGAGGAACACCGAUGGCGAAGGCAGCCCCCUGGGUUAACACUGACGCUCAGGCACGAAAGCGUGGGGAGCAAACAGG
rnacentral:rRNA from 1 species